rnacentral:lncRNA from 1 species
UCACUCCCUACGCCUCCGACCACCCAGCAACACCACAACGCCACCACCCUCCUCCCUCCUCCUCCUCUUCUUCUUCUUCUUCUUCUUCUUUUCUCCUUCUUCUUCUUCCUUUUUCCCUUCCCUCUUUCCCUUCUUCCUCACUGCGCCUGUGUCCCUGGCGAGACACCAGCAGCUCACGCCUCCCACGUCGCGCGCCACUGCCAGCAGCUCCGCCCUCUGCCAGAUCGCGCANNNNNNNN